rnacentral:lncRNA from 1 species
AACUCACAAGCAAUAAUCUAAACUACUAAAAAUUAAUGGGAUAUGUUGAUGACACUUCACCCAUUCCACCAAAAACAAAACCAGACCCUAACAAACUUGAAUUCGUUCCUGACCCAGACUAUGAAACAUGGUUUUAAAAAGACCAAAUGUUACUUUGUUGGUUGCUUUCCUCUUUAUCCGUAGAGGUUUUUCUCUGUGUCAUUAGCAUGACCUCAUCCCUU